CAUCGGUAUUGUUCCUCUUCCCAAAACACUUUCCCAAAAUCAAAUCCCUAAAAUUUGAGGAGAAGCAGCGGCUCUUCCCCUCUUCUUCUCUCGGCGACAACGCACUGGCUGCCGGAGUCUCAUCGGCGUAUGGCCCCCCCCCCCCUUAUUUCCUUCUCUUUUCUUCCUCAACACUUAUCUUCAAAACAAGCCCCAAAUUUAGAGAACACAGGAGCACGCCUUUCUUCCUCUGCGAAAUUGCCGCUACCUCGACGGAUUUUCGGAGUCCCGUCGGCGGGUACUCCCUCCUCAAUCGUGUUAUCUCCUUCCAUCGAGUUCGGAGUAGUCCUCGGCUGCUCGACGAGCAGGGCUGCGGCCUGCUACGUCGCUCGGCGCCAGCCAUCGCCGCCUCCGUGUUCCGGCUCGUGUUACGAUCACAAAUUGUAGAAACAAAAGAAAAGCACUCAGCUAGAGACACAUGUUUGUUAACGUGCAUAACAACUUAUAUGCCAGCUGGUGGGCCACGUCAGCUCAAAUAGAAAGGGGAGAGAAGGCAGAUCUGAGGAGUAUAAAUACGGAGACCAUCUUCUUCAAUUGCAUCCAUGAGAAUUGUGUGAGCUUGCGAGCUGUGGUCAUCGUGAGAAUUUGGUGAUUCGGUGAUUCUCCGUUGAAUGUAUCGUGUACAUUCUAUCCUUCUUCCUUGAGUGGUUUUAGUUAUCCUAUCAUUGUAUCUCUUGUUCUAUUUACAUUUGAAGUUCCAUUUGUGUAAUACUCAUCAUCAAUGUAGUUCCUAUUCGUUUGUUCUAUCGAUUUGUGUCUUUGAUUUUGGGUUAAGUUGCAUCAAAUCAUGGAGGUGGUGAUCGAUUGGAGUUCGUUGUGUGGUUAUUACUUUGAUAAUAGAAAAAAGAUGCAACAAUUGGUAUCAGAGCCGUCGAUCCUCGGAGGGGAAAGACGACUUGAAUCACAGCAGUUCGAUACAGGAAUCACGGAGAAUCGAAGGAAGCUGGAAUCACAACAAUCCAAUGCUUGAUGGGAGAAGAAUAUGCAACUACUUCGAAAUAUCAUCUCCUCGAAGCCUGGGGGAGAAGUUGCAGCUGCAGAUAAGGAAUCAUCACGUGUUGAAGAAGAGGAUCAACAAAUAGGGAUCCUAUGGCAAAAAUUGGAGGCUCACUGUGAGGCUCAUUGGCGUCGCAUGGAUGCUAAAUUCGACGCACUGAAGAAAGCAAUUCUAGAUCUAAGCAUCUCGAGCCAAGGUCGAUCGAUGGAGACAACGAAUGCGAACUCCAGCAGCUAUUGCAACACUGAUUUUGAGCAAUUGGAGUGUAAUCGGUCUCCAGUGCAGAAAACAGAGGAGCUUGAACUGCCGCAAGUCGAUCGCCCCAGAUCUGACAACCUUAAAUCACGAGACGAAGGUUGGGACGUCCACCAAGCAAUAGCAACGAUGGAUCUGGACUCCGACAGCCAUGAAUCUCAAGUGGUACAGACCGACGGAAGCUUGGGGAAUCAAAAGGAAGUGAUGGAAAUUUUGGAUUAUCCAGUAAGAAAUUUGGUGACAGUGUUGGAGCUUCCCAAAAUUGCCCAGAAGGGUUCGAUGAGAUGACAUCGUGGAAUGGGGCGAGAAUGACAGUAAAUGGCAUUGAUUCAGAGCUUUACUUUUUGAGUUCAUCGCUAGAAUCAAAGAACUAUCCAAAAGUGGAGAAGUCUGGGAAAGAAUCGGAGGAAUUUGGAUCGCAAAAUCAGAGAAGCUUCCUUCAAUCAAGUGCUCGAGGAAAUGCCCAAAAGGUACCAUGGCUGCAUAUUUGGAGUAUUAUGGAGGUGGAAAUCGAGAGAGAAGAGAGGGUGGAAUCUUGCUCACAUCAUCCUCCAUGCCUACUUCCUAAAGUAGCAACUUUCAUCACCUUGGUUCUUGUUUCUUGUGGGGGAAUUGCUUCUAAACGUGCAUAGUUGUAAGUAUAGCUUAGGGUGAGUUGUCUCUUUUCACUCACAUAUUCCAACUUGUAUAGUAUGUAUCGUAUCUUAAUACACACAUAUAUAUCCCACAUUUCUUAAUAAAAGUAUUUACCUCAUUUUUCCAUA